GCCUUCUUAGCUAAGUGGUAUAGCGCUGGUCUCGUAAACCAGAGGUCGGGAGUUCAAUUCUCUCAGGAGGCA